CCUAUCUGGUUGAUCCUGCCAGUAAUCAUAUGCUUGUUUCAAAGAUUAAGCCAUGCAUGUCUAAGUCCAAGCUGUGUCUAACACGGCGAGACCGCGGACGGCUCAUUAAAUCAGUCGUGGUCCAAAUGGGCCAGUGUUUAUUCUACUUGGAUAACUGUGGUAAUUCCAGAGCUAAUACAUGCAACUGAUAUCCUGACGGCACGGUUCUCGUUCUCUUGUAGGACUUGUUCUCGUGUUCCGACGGAUGCUUUUAUUAGACCAAACCGCCGAGGGUGAGCGUGUCUCUCGCUUACUACUACUCUCUCUGAGAGUGUGUGUGUGUGGGGGCGCCUCGCUUUACUCGUGUUGGGUGACUCCGGAUAACCUUUUUGACGAGCGCACGUACCACUCUCUGAGUUGGACGGCGCUGCCACUUUCGAGUGUCUGCCUUAUCAGCUAUCAACCGUUCGUUAUGUGCGACCGAUGGCAUUGACGGGUAACGGAGAAUCAGGGUUCGAUCCCGGAGAGGCAGCCUGAGAAACGGCUACCACGCCCAAGGGCGGCAGCAGGCACGCAAAUUACCCAAUCCCAGCUACUGGGGGAGGUAGUGACGAAAUCUAACGAUGCGGGCGCCCUUUCUGGGGCCCCGCAAUCGGAAUGAGCACUUUCUAAACAACCUGUUGAGAACCUACUGAAGGGCAAGUCUGGUGCCAGCAGCCGCGGUAAUUCCAGCUUCAGUAGCAUCUAUUAAAGUUGCUGCGGUUAAAAGGCUCGCAGUAGAAACUCAGUACUGAGCGCAGGUAGGUGGACGUUGGGGCGUGGGAAUUAAAGGAUCGUGCGUACGGACGAGAGUUCUCUUUCGCACCGGCCACACCUAUCUCACAAGCCCCCGUCCGUGAACAGCCUCCUCGCUUGCGUACAUAUCGGAAUUUGGCAAACGGAGUGUACGUGGUGCUCGCGCUCGUAUCAUUGAAGCAUGUGUGGUGUGUGUCGACGUGGGUGCGUUCGCGCGCUCGCCCGGCGCAUGCUGCUAUAAGUGUUGACGUGUGUAUGUGGUGUGGAGGCCCGUGCGUUAAGCUCUUCGGUUUCAUAGUCACCUUGAGUAAAUCAGAGUGCUCAAAGCAGUCGUAGGGGCCUUGCGCCCUGUGAAAAGUCUUAACGGACUGACUUGGUUUUGCAUGGCAUGUUGGAAUACGACGUCGCGUGCUGGCUCAGAGAUGAUGGUGGUGUAAGCCAGCCGCGACGUACUGAUUAAAAGAAUUGGUCGAGGGCAUUGGUAUUGCGGGGCGAGAGGUGAAAUUCUAUGACCCCCGCAAGACCUCCUGAAGCGAAAGCGUCUGCCAAGGAUGUUUUCAUUAAUCAUGAACGAAAGUUAGAGGAUCGAAGGCGAUCAGAUACCGCCCUAGUUCUAACCCUAAACGAUGCCAACCAUCAAUCCGCGCGUAGUACCCUUCUUAACGGACUCGGCGGGCAGCUCCCCACUCACGGGAAACCAGAGUCUCUGGGUUCCGGGGGGAGUCUGGUUGCAAAGCUGAAACUUAAAGGAAUUGACGGAAAGGCACCACCAGGCGUGGAGCUGCGGCUUAAUUUGACUCAACACGGGCCACCUCACCAGGCCAGCACUCUUGUACGAUUGACAGAUUGAGAGCUCUUUCUCGAUUCAGUGGAUGGUGGUGCAUGGCCGUUCUUAGUUGGUGGAGUGAUCUGUCUGGUUAAUUCCGAUAACGAACGAGACUCUCCCCUGCUAACUAGUCGGUUGGAUCUUGCUCGGUGAGCUGUGUGCCGGGUUCACCCGGAGUCGCUGAUGCGCGUGAGUGCAUGCGCGCGUGCGUUGUUGUUGCGCGAGCAAUCGUGCGCUUCGGCGUGUGUGUGUGUGUGUCUCUCGUGUAUCGGUCUUCGGGCCUCGGACCACACACUCCAAGUCCGCCGCUUAUGCUAUGACUCUUCUUAGAGGGAUUCACGGUACCGAAGCCGUAAGAGACUGAGAGCAAUAACAGGUCUGUGAUGCCCUUAGAUGCUCUGGGCCGCACGCGCGCUACAAUGCCGGGGCACAGCAGGUUUUUAUCCUGCUCCGUCAGAGCGGGUAACCCUCUGAAAGCCCUUGCUUUAUCGUGUCUGACACGAAUGGCGUGCUUGGGCCUGGGGCUUGCAAUUCUUUCCCACAAACGAGGAAUGCCUAGUAGCGGCGGGUCACUGAGCCCGCCGUGAUUCAGUCCCUGCCCUUUGUACACACCGCCCGUCGCUACUACCGAUUGGGUGUACCAGUGAGAGCCUUGGACUGGCGUCCGUUGCCUUCGGGCAAGCGGGUCCGACGGAAAGAGGUCCGAACUGGUGCACUUAGAGGAAGUAAAAGUCGUAACAAGGUUUCCGUAGGUGAACCUGCGGAAGGAUCAUUA
rnacentral:rRNA from 1 species